rnacentral:rRNA from 1 species
UACAGAGGGUGCGAGCGUUGUUCGGAAUUAUUGGGCGUAAAGCGCUUGUAGGCGGCACGUCAAGUCGCGUGUGAAAUCCCCAGGCUUAACCUGGGAAGUGCGCGCGAAACUGACGAGCUUGAGUGCCGGAGAGGGUCGCGGAAUUCCCGGUGUAGAGGUGAAAUUCGUAGAUAUCGGGAGGAACACCAGUGGCGAAGGCGGCCUUCUGGCUCGUAACUGACGCUGUAGCGCGAAAGCGUGGGGAGCGAACGGG